rnacentral:rRNA from 1 species
UACGUAGGGUGCGAGCGUUGUCCGGAAUUAUUGGGCGUAAAGGGCUCGUAGGCGGUUUGUCGCGUCGGGAGUGAAAACACACAGCUUAACUGUGUGCUUGCUUCCGAUACGGGCAGACUAGAGGUAUGCAGGGGAGAACGGAAUUCCUGGUGUAGCGGUGAAAUGCGUAGAUAUCUGGAGGAACACCGGUGGCGAAGGCGGCAUCCUGGACCGGUAUUGACGCUGAGGCGCGAAAGCCAGGGGAGCAAACGGG